rnacentral:rRNA from 1 species
CGUCAGCUCGUGUCGUGAGAUGUUGGGUUAAGUCCCGCAACGAGCGCAACCCCUGCAUUCAGUUGCCAUCGGGUAAUGCCGGGCACUCUGGAAGGACUGCCAUCGACAAGAUGGAGGAAGGUGGGGAUGACGUCAAGUUCUCAUGGCCUUUAUGACCAGGGCUACACACGUACUACAAUGGCCGAUACAAAGGGCAGCGACACUGCGAGGUGAAGCCAAUCCCGUAAAAUCGGUCUCAGUCCGGAUUGCAGUCUGCAACUCGACUGCAUGAAGUUGGAAUCGCUAGUAAUCGCGGAUCAGCCAAGCCGCGGUGAAUACGUUCCCGGGCCUU